rnacentral:lncRNA from 1 species
AAAAUUCGGUAUAGAUAUAAUAUGUAUAAAAUUCGUUUUCUAAUUUUUAAAUUUGUUGAAAAAUUCGGCUUAAAAAACGGAUUCGGUAUAAAAUAUAAAAUAUAAAAUAUAAAAUAUAAGAUAAUUUAUAUUUAAAAAUAAAAAUUAUAAGUUUUUUUAUUUAUAUUUUCAAAAAUUCGGGAAUAAUUCGCGAAUAAUUCGGCUGGCCCAAAAAUUCGCGAACAAUUCUCUUUUUUUGGAAAAAAUUCGUAAACGGACCGUUUAAUUCGGAUUUUCAAUAAUUCAAGAAUAAUUCGCGAAUUAACUAACUAGGCCAAAAACAAAAAACUUAAAGUAGGGAUGCAAGAACAAGGGGAGAUCAGGGGUUAGGAGGGUCUCUCACCUCCUGCUCCAUUUCUUGUCGGAACAGAAUUGAUACUGCACGGAUUAAUUUUAAUUCUAUUUUUGGCCCCUAUGUAUCGCUCUUUUUGGGACAGAUCGAGAUGAGAACGAAUUUUUAAUAGAUUUUUGACGGAUCGGGACAGAUUAAUGGAAGAAAGGUCGCUCCAUCGACUUGGUGGAUCGGGAUGGAUUUGGGAUGGAUCAUCUUUUUUCUUUAUAUUUUUUAUUC